UCUCCGUAGGUGAACCUGCGGAGGGAUCAUUACUGAGUGAGGGCUUCGGUCCGACCUCCAACCCUUUGUGAACAAAACUUGUUGCUUCGGGGGCGACCCUGCCGCUUCGGCGGUGCGGCGCCCCCGGAGGCCAUUAAACACUGCAUCAUUGCGUCGAAGUUAAAGUAAAUUAAACAAAACUUUCAACAACGGAUCUCUUGGUUCCAGCAUAGAUGAAGAGCGGCAGC
rnacentral:misc_RNA from 1 species